rnacentral:rRNA from 1 species
UACGUAGGGUGCGAGCGUUAAUCGGAAUUACUGGGCGUAAAGCGUGCGCAGGCGGUUCGCUGUGUCGGAUGUGAAAGCCCCGGGCUCAACCUGGGAACGGCAUUCGAAACUGGCGGGCUGGAGUGCGGCAGAGGGGGGUGGAAUUCCGCGUGUAGCAGUGAAAUGCGUAGAGAUGCGGAGGAACACCGAUGGCGAAGGCAGCCCCCUGGGCUGACACUGACGCUCAGGCACGAAAGCGUGGGGAGCAAACAGG